GUACUCACUCUGGCAGUACAUACACUAAAAGUGGAAUAACAGAAGAUUAGCAUGGCCCAGUGCAAGGAUGACAUGCAAAUCCGUGAAAUGUCCCGUAUUUCU
ensembl:snRNA U6 U6 spliceosomal RNA